GGUAAGACACAUGGAUUGUGGAAUUGUCGUGUGUCCCAGAAAACAAGUAACUUUAUGAACACAUUUUACCUUUCUUACAACACAAAGAGUUAUACAAACACCACAAAAGGUUAUUCCAAAAACCUUACAGUGGCAAAGUUCUAUAGAACAUCAAAAUGUGGAUAUUACAUGAUUGGGUUAUGCUUUAGGAUUGUACCGGAGGAAGAGAGGGAGCCGACAGUUGAACUCUUCACAGAAUUAAAUAUCCACAAUCAGUUAGACUG